UUGGUAAUAACGGUCAAAGGAAGAAGGAAGGGGAUACUAGUGCGGUCUACACUCAACGAGGACCCAGUAGGGAUCGUUACUUCCAGCACACCGCUGCGGUGACUAUUCCUGCUGAACAACAACAACAACCGCAACAGCAACAACAACAACAGAGGCAACCGUUCCAGCAGAGGCCUCAGAGGGCUGGAUAUCAAGUUAGGGGGAGAGCUGUGGACAGG
rnacentral:lncRNA from 1 species